rnacentral:tRNA from 1 species
GGUAUGUGGCUCAGUUGGUGGAGUACUUGCCUAGCAUGCACAAAGCCCUGGGUUCAAUUCCCAGCACCACCA